AUCCACUACUCUACCCAUUGCACCACCUAGAGGUAAUUGGAUGGCAUAAUGGAUAGACCACUUGCGUAGAAUCAGGAAUACUAAAGCUCUCCUCACGUGAGAAGGUUUAUGUAUUCAGCCUUUAAGUCAUAGACAGAAUUUGGUAAG